UCCAACUUGGAUGUGUAAAUUUACUGAAUAUGACCGUUAAUAAGCUUAAUUAUUAGUGAUUUCGGCCUUAUCCUGACAAUAAAUAUCUAAUUAUAAAUGAUUGAAUCCUUUUACUUAAUGCUUUUUGGUUUUGAAAUACAUCGAUGCAAUUUUCAUAAAGUUAUAUAAGCCACUAUACAAUUUUUAAAUAAGGAAAUUGUGUUUGUCAGGUUGCCUAUUGUCGGAAAACCUCGUACCAUAUUCGAUUAGUGAGGUUAUUUUCGCAGUUGUCUGACUUAGCUUGUUUAAGUGUAAAUAGUGUUGUGGAAAGUCGUAUCAGUGUGUAAUAUGAUAAUUAAAGUGACUUACAUUACAAUUAAUAAUUAAGUAACUGAUAAAAUACUUGCAAUGAAGUAAAAUUGUGCGCAUUAGGAAACUGAACUCCCUACAGGAAAUCCAACGAUUGUGCUAUCGUUAACCGGAAUUACACCAAAACAAAUGGUUUCCAAUUGAUUCUAACUUGCACUAUAGUAAACAACAUCAGCUACAAAAGGUAAGAGUGAACAAAGUGGCAACGUUGGAUUUAUACAAACGCCGUAGGUCAUGCGAUAACACAG